rnacentral:misc_RNA from 1 species
UACUCAUGAAAGACAACUGCAUUAACCAAAAAGAGGAAAAUUACAUUAAUACAAAUAGGAUUAUCAAAACAUUCAUGAUUAUUCUUAAUGUGUCUUAUCAAAUGUAGGCCACAUUUUUUUGAGCCCAAUGAUCUAAAAAUUAAUACGAAGUGCAUCAAUGUUUCGUUUUCCUUCUGGGCCCUUAGAGUACCAUGAUGACACAUAGUCUUCAUAAUUAACCUCACGGUACCUAGGAGGGGAAGACUCAUUAACAAGCUGAAAAGCAGGGGAUAUUUUCAUUUUCUUGGCUGGGUCAUGAAAUGUCGCAACGGAGAGUCUUGGCCGCCUUGAAUUAGUUAUGGCUCGAUGUUGAGCACUCUUGUACUUCCCAUUACUUAUAAUCUCAAUUUGGUCAGAAAGAAUGGCAACAAUGGCAUCACAUAAAGGGCGCACAGUGAACCACUGAGAUUCCUUCAAAACCUGAAGACCCUCAACUUGAUCUUGAAUUAAAAGUGUGAUGGCACCCAUAUCAGAAUGAGACUGAAGUCCUAGUGUAAGGUCAGGCUGAGGACAAGGAGGGUAAUAGCUGAUGGUAAUAUUCUGAUAGAAUUCACCAACUGCAUUCUCAAUGCCAGAUGAUGGUAGCCCCAGACUUUCUGAGAUGAGGCCCAAUAACUUCUGAGCAAGCACCUUCAUUUCAUCACUAUGCUUCCCCACGACUUCCCUGUAAUUGGGAAGGAAGUGAGGCCAACGAGAAGGAUUACGUCGAGAAAGAGGUAAAGUGUGGUGGUCAAAGUAGUCCCUCCAGUCCAAGACACCACAGUUAGAGUUGUCAACUAGCAUCUUGCUUCCAUAUCCUUCGGAGGCCGCGGAAGUGGGAUCACAUGCGUACUUGAGCUUGUCUUGAAAGGGGCAAUCAUUGAAAAAAGAAAAGCCAACACUCCUUAUCUGGUCCAUUAAUUCGAUGGGAACCCCAUGGUUGGUUACUUGGAAUGCCCCCCAUUCCCUGCAAGCCUCACCAAUUGCCUUUCUAACUGAAUCUCUGUGUUCUGGAUCAAACCCAAACAAGUCAAGCACUGGAAUAUUCAUAAUACCAGCGCCAUUGUCUUUCUUAUGGAUGGGUCGAUUCUCAUGGGGCUGGAUAUAUUGGGAAGGGAUCUCUGCUACGCCUGCUUGUACUAGGCUUUGGACUCUCAUCACAGUGUUUCUCCCUGCCUCCAUUCCUUGUAAUUCAAACUCAAACUGAAAAGUAUAAAUCAUUAGAAGCCAUUUACUUGUAAAAAAAGUUUUAAAAAAGUUUUCCACUUUCAAGCUCCAUUUUUCUUUCCCAUUUGAAAAAUUACUGCUCAAAAGAAAAUUUUGGAAAACGCUUUUACUUGUUAAGUUAGAAAACGCUUUUGUUUGUUGAGUUAGAAAAGCUUUUUGUAGUCUGAAAUUGGAAAACUAUCUCCUAAUGUAAAAUUUUGAUUAAAUUAAAUAAUUCACUUUCAAAAACACUUUUCCCUUUCAUAUCAAUAUAAAGGAUACUUAUCUUGUGCAAAAGAAAUUUUGUAAGAAAAACGAAAAGUUUGAGCACUGCUUAGAAAAUUGACGAUAUCUUCCAAUAGAAAAUUCGAAGAUGCAAUCCACUUUUUUCUGGCGCCUCUGUGUAAAUCAACAAUAUCUCUUUGCAGGAAAUUCUGAUUCACAUACUGUUAGUUGUGUCAUGAAGUAGAAUGAAAAAGCUUUCCAGCAGUAUGAGAUUCACCUACCAGUUCUUCACCAACUGAUACAGAUUUGACAGUAAAAGCAGACCAGAAUCUGAAUGAUUUUGUAGGGCAGAACAGAGAAGAGAAGAGAUGGAGAUCAAGGUCGUUUGAUUAAGUUGAUAUGGAGGUCGUCCCUUGAAAGGGAAGAGACGCGCCUUUCUCAGAUACAGGUCGGAAUGGCAGCGAGUUAUAGAAAUCUUUUUUU